rnacentral:tRNA from 1 species
CAAAUUAUAGCUUAUUUUUAAAGCUUUUUAGUUACAUUAAUAGGAAAACAGUUUUGUUUAGUUUGA